rnacentral:rRNA from 1 species
UAGCGAGCCCAACCUCCCACCCGUGUUUACUGUACCUUAGUUGCUUCGGCGGGCCCGCCAUUCAUGGCCGCCGGGGGCUCUCAGCCCCGGGCCCGCGCCCGCCGGAGACACCACGAACUCUGUCUGAUCUAGUGAAGUCUGAGUUGAUUGUAUCGCAAUCAGUUAAAACUUUCAACAAUGGAUCUCUUGGUUCCGGCAUCGAUGAAGAACGCAGCGAAAUGCGAUAACUAGUGUGAAUUGCAGAAUUCCGUGAAUCAUCGAGUCUUUGAACGCACAUUGCGCCCCCUGGUAUUCCGGGGGGCAUGCCUGUCCGAGCGUCAUUGCUGCCCAUCAAGCACGGCUUGUGUGUUGGGUCGUCGUCCCCUCUCCGGGGGGGACGGGCCCCAAAGGCAGCGGCGGCACCGCGUCCGAUCCUCGAGCGUAUGGGGCUUUGUCACCCGCUCUGUAGGCCCGGCCGGCGCUUGCCGAACGCAAAUCAAUCUUUUCCAGGUUGACCUCGGAUCAGGUAGGGAUACCCGCUGAACUUAAGCAUAUCAAUAAGCGGAGGAA